AAUGGAGAGGCCUUCGCUGGCUCAGCAGCUCGGCCCACACGGCCCGCAGCCUCGGAGGAACAUACAUCACAGGCUGAGCGGCUUCAUUACUGGACCGCCACCGAAAAUCAGAGCGGAGGUGUGCAGAAUGGCUCCAGGGCAGGAGGGAAGACGAUGCGCUUCUGCCAUCUUCAGCUUACUGCACUAUUGACGUUCUCAACCAACUUAUGGUGAAGAACAAGAUCCAGGAUAAAAGUUCACUUCUGGCGUCGGCUAGCGGGGCUUAGCUUGAACGACGUACGUCCAGAACGACGCUGCUUCCAGCUCCUGUAGGAGAGGGACAAGGUUUCAUAAAGACACCAACUGAGGAAGAAGUGAAAAUGUGUUUCAGGAGAGACGGACUCGCUGCACGGCACGGAUGAAUCUCAGCUGAAUCUCUCAUCAGCUACGACUCCUCGGCUGGAAAACUGUAGAUAUUAAGUAUG